UACGAAGGGGACUAGCGUUGUUCGGAAUCACUGGGCGUAAAGCGCACGUAGGCGGAUUCGUAAGUCAGGGGUGAAAUCCCGGGGCUCAACCUCGGAACUGCCUUUGAUACUGCGGGUCUUGAGUCCGAUAGAGGUGGGUGGAAUUCCUAGUGUAGAGGUGAAAUUCGUAGAUAUCGGGAGGAACACCGGUGGCGAAGGCGAGUCCCUGGACAACUUCUGACGCUGAGGCACGAAAGCUAGGGGAGCAAACAGG
rnacentral:rRNA from 1 species